AAGGCAUAAGGAUCAUGUGAAAAUGGACUCAAGCAAGAAAGGCAAAAGGGUCAAAAGGAGGCAAGGGAACGGACGCAAAAAGGUUGUACGGGUCACGGAGGAUCAUCAAGGAAUAAAGAUCGAGGACCGAGUCACAUGAAGGAUUGUACGGGGUUGUCUAAGGAUGUAAUUUGUUAUACAUAAGUUAUGAUUUAUUCUAUAAUUCAGUCAGUUUGAUGUAUUCAAUAUAAAAGAGUUAUCUUAAAAGUGAACUUUCAAGUAAGACAUAAGGUUUAUAAUGAAAGAAAUUUUAUGUCA